CAGCAGCCGCGGUAAUACAGAGGGUGCGAGCGUUAAUCGGAUUUACUGGGCGUAAAGCGUGCGUAGGCGGCUUCUUAAGUCGGAUGUGAAAUCCCUGAGCUUAACUUAGGAAUUGCAUUCGAUACUGGGAAGCUAGAGUAUGGGAGAGGAUGGUAGAAUUCCAGGUGUAGCGGUGAAAUGCGUAGAGAUCUGGAGGAAUACCGAUGGCGAAAGCACUCUGCUGGGCCGACACUGACACUGAGAGACGAAAGCUAGGGGAGCAAAUGGGAUUAGAUACCCGGGUAGUCCCUGUCUCUUAUAC
rnacentral:rRNA from 1 species